rnacentral:lncRNA from 1 species
CAGAAAACGACCUUGCCCCUUCCACCACAAAAGUGCCAUCUAUGGACAAAUAUGUAGGCAAUCACCAGACACCAAAUAUGCUCAAACCUUGAUCUUGGACUUUCCAGCUUCCAGACAAUGAGAGAUAUAUUUCAGCUAUUUAUAAGGAUUUUGUUAGAGUCUGAACAGACUAAGAUAGGUGCCCAGGAGAAGCAACAAUGAGACCAUGUUGGUGGAGCACAGUCCCUCUUCGAAUAGUCACAGCCAAAUAAAGAAACAACUUCUUCUGAGCAAGAGCGAGUAGACACAGCCAUCAAGAGCAUGCCCUUCCGCAUGCUUCAGACGGAAGAUUGCUGUGGUUCGGAUGUGAUUUGUCCCUUGAAGGUUCAUGUGCUGGAAGCUGGUCCUCAAGCACUUGUGUCCUCUGCUUGGUUAGCAACAUUACUCCUUUUGGCAUAUCAGCUCCUUUGAUGGCAUCUUUAUUCUUCAAAAUAGUCAAGAUUGUCGACUUUGCCAUCUUAUACUUCAAGGCCAGAUCAUUCAAACAAAUACCACACUUAUGCUUUUCUACAAUUUCCAUCUUCAAUUCAAUGGUUAUUUUCUUCAAAACUUUCCCCUUACCAGUUUUGCUCUGCACUUUCUUGUCACCUUCAUUACUUCUCUGUGCUUUUUUUUUUCCACCAUGCUUGCUCUUCAUUUUCUUUGAAGCAAUGGAUGGAAUAAUACUGUACAAUACUGUAUAUGCUAAAAAGCAAACAAAAAGGCUUCACACCAAGUAUGCACAGGUCUGUCUGUGAUUGAAAUCUCAACUGGAGGAAGCCAUGACUACAUAUCAGAGUGGGGAAGAUGGCCGCAGUCAUGUUCCUUGCUGACAGGCCCCCUGAGCCAGACCCCCACACAAGCGGAUCCACUACCUGCAUCCACAGAAGGACAGAGAUAACAGGAAGCCAGCAGCUGACCUGCUGCUUUUACCACCGCCCUGCUUACCAGCCAGCCACAUGCCCAUCACUUAUGAUGAAAAGGAAAAGUGUGGCAUGGGUUAAUCUGAAAAUGGAAUUAAUAACUCCAAAGUUUUGUAGCCUGUAAUAAAUGAUUAUUGUAAGCA